UGGGGAAUCUUGCGCAAUGCGCGAAAGCGUGACGCAGCAACGCCGCGUGGGGGAAGACGGCCUUCGGGUUGUAAACCCCUUUCAGUUGGGACGAAGCCCCGUCCGUUAAUAGCGGUGCGGGGUGACGGUACCUUCACAAGAAGCCCCGGGUAAGUACGAGCCAGCAGCCGCGGUAAUACGUAGGGGGCAAGCGUUGUCCGGAAUCAUUGGGCGUAAAGAGCGCGUAGGCGGUCCGGUAAGUCCGCUGUGAAAGUCGGGGGCUCAACCCUCGAAAGCCGGUGGAUACUGUCGGGCUAGAGUCCGGAAGAGGCGAGUGGAAUUCCUGGUGUAGCGGUGAAAUGCGCAGAUAUCAGGAGGAACACCUAUGGCGAAGGCAGCUCGCUGGGACGGUACUGACGCUGAGGCGCGAGAGCGUGGGGAGCGAACAGGAUUAGAUACCCCCGUAGUCC
rnacentral:rRNA from 1 species